rnacentral:tRNA from 1 species
GGGGGUGCAUGUUCCUUGGGGGCGACCGAUCCUUGCAAGAUUGGUGCGACGGGUUCGAUUCCCGCCACUUCCA